AGUGAACGCUGGCGGUAUGCCUAACACAUGCAAGUCGAACGGCAACACAGUAAGCUCUUGCUCUUACGGGUGGCGAGUGGCGGACGGGUGAGGAAUACAUCGGAAUCUACUUUUUCGUGGGGGAUAUCGUAGGGCCACUUACGCUAAUACCGCAUAUGACCUACGGGUGAAAUCAGUAGAUCAUCGGACCUUGCGCGUUUCAAUGAGCCGAUGUCGGAUUAGCUAGUUGGCGAGGUAAAGGCCCACCAAGGCGACGAUCCGUAGCUGAUCUGAGAGGAUGAUCAGCCACACUGGAACUGAGACACGGUCCAGACUCCUACGGGAGGCAGCAGUGGGGAAUCUUGGGCAAUGGGCGAAAGCCUGAUGGAGCAAUACCGCGUGGGUGAAGAAGGCCUUCGGGUCGUAAAGCCCUUUUAUUGGGAAAGAAAAGCAGCGGAUUAAUACCUCGCUGUUCUGACGGUACCCAAAGAAAAAGCACCGGCUAACUUCGUG
rnacentral:rRNA from 1 species